UCCUGGUUAGCUCAGUUGGUAGAGCGCUUCACUAGAAAUCGGGAAGUCCCUUGUUUGUUCCCAGGACUAGGAA
rnacentral:tRNA from 2 species